GACGAACGCUGGCGGCGCGCUUAACACAUGCAAGUCGAGCGAGAACCCAGGCUUCGGCCUGGGGGAAAGCGGCGAACGGGUGAGUAACACGUGGGUAAUCUGCCCUCGGCAUCGGGAUAGCCCGGGGAAACCCGGAUUAAUACCGAAUGGCCCAGCAGCUCUUCGAGGCGGCUGGAAAAGGUAGCUUCGGCCUCCGGCCGAGGAGGAGCCCGCGGGGGAUUAGCUUGUUGGUGGGGUAACGGCCUACCAAGGCUCCGAUCCGUAGCUGGUCUGAGAGGACGAUCAGCCACACUGGGACUGAGACACGGCCCAGACUCCUACGGGAGGCAGCAGUGGGGAAUCUUGCGCAAUGGGCGAAAGCCUGACGCAGCGACGCCGCGUGAGGGAAGAAGGCCUUCGGGUUGUAAACCUCUUUCAGGAGGGACGAAGCCACUCGGGUUAAUAGCCCAGAGGGUGACGGUACCUCCAGAAGAAGCCCCGGCUAACUACGUGCCAGCAGCCGCCGUAACAC
rnacentral:rRNA from 1 species